ensembl:lncRNA
GUUCCUAUGCAGAGGCCCAUCUGGAGAUCUGGACACACAGACGGGGCAGAGCUAGUUCAGGAUGAGUCCUUGGGUGGUCCCAAGGAGGAGGGGAUGGCCAGACACGUGAACAUGGUGGAAUGCGGUUUGCUGCCUGAAGCACAAGGGCUGGGGCUCCCUGCACUGGACGGCGACCCUUUGGCAGACCCAGGCUCCAUCAGGGACUCAGGCUCAGCUGGAAUGGUCUCACCUGGAUCCUGCCCAGAAACCCCAGAGGAGGCAUCCCACAGCCCAGGAGUAGAAUCUAAAGGCCCUGAAGCCUUCAGAUGAGGAAAGAGCACACUGGGUGGUAGGAACAUCUCCCACUUCUAAGUGCCCUGGGCUUGCUCCCCCUUAGGUCUAGGCGCAUAGGUUGGAAGAGUUGAGUUGGAAAAUGGAAUAUCUAGCCAAAUUCCUUCAUCCAUCUACCCACCCAUUCACUUCUCCUGUCUGCCCUUCCUCUCUUCCGUGGCCCACUCCUUACUUCCUUCCCUCUCUCCUUCCUUCCUGCCUCCUUUUCUUCAUUAUUCAUACUUUCUGUACUUCCCCCUUCCUUCCUUUCCUUCCUUCCUCCUUUCUGUCCUUCUUUCCUUCUGUCCCUCCAUCCUUCUACCCACUAUGCAUGUAUCCACCCAUCUACCCACACACCUGUCCAACCAUCCAUCGUCCUACCUCACAAACCUCUACUGAGUAUCUACUAUGGGUUAGGCACUAUGCUAACAGGAGAUGCACCAAGCCCCUCAAGGAGCUUGUAGUCUAGCUGGAUAGAGUCUCGUACACAGAUCACUUUUCCCACAGCACGGCUGAUGCCAUCAUACAGAUAGAAGCAGAGGAGACAGAAGGGCCACAAAGGAGGGGUAGGCAUGCCCAGGGCCACAAAGGAGGGCUAGGCAUGCCCAGCAAAAGCCCUCAGCACAGCCCUAAUUCUGAUGAAUGAGUUUGUUUAACCUGUUUUGAAUGUUUUUUGAAUAUGACUUUAAUAUGAAGCCUAUCAUGGAAUACAAAUUUUUGAAUUAAUUGAAUAUAUUUACAUAUAUUUUAGUUAACUUGUUUAUUGUCCAUCUCUCCCACUGGUAUGGGGUUUCCAUGAGAGCACUGACUGCUGCUGUCUAGUUCACUGCUGCUGUCUAGUUCACUGCUGUAUCCCAGGACCUAGAGUGCUGGCCAGCACAUAGUAGGUGCUCAAUAAACUUUUAUACACUAAAUACACUUCUCUUCUGGGUCCUAUCUUAGUCCAUUCAUGCUGCUAUAAAAAUAUCAGGGACUGGCCUGGUGCGGUGGCUCAAGCCUGUAAUCCCAGCACUUUGGGAGGCCGAGAUGGGCGGAUCACGAGGUCAGGAGAUCGAGACCAGCCUGGCUAACAUGGUGAAACCCCAUCUCUACUAAAAAAAUACAAAAAACUAGCCAGGCGAGGUGGCAGACGCCUGUAGUCCCAGCUACUCGGAAGGCUGAGGCAGGAGAAUGGCGAGAACCCCGGAGGCGGAGCUUGCAGUGAGCUGAGAUCCGGCCACUGCACUCCAGCCUGAGCAACAGAGUGAGACUCUGUCUCAAAAAAAAAAAAAAAAAAAAAAA